GCCGAGCGGCGGCAGGAGCGGCCCUGACUCCAUCCGGGUCCCUGCGCGACUCCGGGUCACCCUGCGGCAGGGAACACUGCUCCUGUUCAGAACGUGUUUAGGAAUCCUGCAGCAGAAUGCCCCAACCUCACCCCGGGGUCACACUCAAUGCCUGACCCUUCCCGACCUCCUCCCAACCUCUCAGAGCAGUUACCUGUGCAGACAUACAGCCCUGGCUAGAGCUGUGUCCCCACUGGAUUGCCGUGACUCAGCACGCUCCAUUGUGUUUCAGCAAUCCUGAAACGUGGCCAAGAAGUUCCUUCCAAAUAUUACCUUGCUAAAGGAAAAAUAUCUGCUGUAUUGCUUCUCCUGCACAUCUCAUCCCAUGACCACAAGCUGUUCAUUUCAAGGAGGAGCAAUGCAAGAGUUUCCUCUCAACUUCUUGUAAAAUAUACAAAAAUUAAAUUUUCCUCCCUAGUUUCCACCUACUCCUAUCCCAUUUCUGGACCUACAGGUAGCACAGCUGUACACAGAGCUUUCUGCCUCCUCUGCCAAAUUGUGUCCCUGCUGACUCACAAAGGGAUAUCCUGGGGAUUUUAACUCUCCAUUUACACUCAGCUGUGACAGCACCCACAACUCAAACACUGAAUAGUGUUUGCUAGUUUUAGGGAGGCUUGUGGCAAUGCCAGUGUUCAGGAACUCAUUUCCAAAAAUAAAAAUUCAGAAGUCCAAAGUGCUGGUCAGCAGAGCUGAUACUGAACCUGGUGUUUCACCCUGUUGGAUUCUGGUUGUCCUUCUCCAGUCCAAACAGAGUUUACUCCAUCAAAAUUGGCAACAGGGAAUAAUCAAAUGCUGCUCUUUGGUUCAGUACAAAUUUUGUGACUGGAUGAGUACCACAGCUCUGCUGGACAGACAAAAACUGUGACUGGCCAUACAAACUGCCACCUUUCUU